GACGAACGCUGGCGGCGUGCUUAACACAUGCAAGUCGAACGGCAAGGCACUGCUUGUGUGGGGUGCUCGAGUGGCGAACGGGUGAGUAACACGUGAGUAACCUGCCCUUGACUUUGGGAUAACUUCAGGAAACUGGGGCUACUACCGGAUAGGAGCUGCUGCUGCAUGGUGGGGGUUGGAACGUUGCGGCGGGUGGGGAUGGACUGGCGGCUGAUCAGCUUGUUGGUGGGGUAGUGGCUUACCAAGGCUUUGACGGGUCGCCGGCCUGGGAGGGUGACCGGCCACAUUGGGACUGAGAGACGGCCCAGACUGCUACGGGAGGCAGCAGUGGGGAAUAUUGCACAAUGGGAGGAAGCCUGAUGCAGCAGCGCCGCGGUUGUGAUGACGGUCUGCGGGUUGUAAACCGCUUUCGCCUGUGACGAAGCUGGAGUGACGGUAAUGGGUAAAGAAGCACCGGCUAACUACGUG
rnacentral:rRNA from 1 species